UACGUAGGGGCUAGCGUUGUCCGGAUUUAUUGGGCGUAAAGAGCGUGUAGGCGGCCAGGUAGGUCUGGUGUGAAAACUCGAGGCUUAACCUCGAGAUGUCAUCGGAAACCAUUUGGCUAGAGUCCGGAAGAGGAGAGUGGAAUUCCUGGUGUAGCGGUGAAAUGCGCAGAUAUCAGGAGGAACACCAAUGGCGAAGGCAGAUCUCUGGGCCGUAACUGACGCUGGAGGAGCGAAAGCAUGGGGAGCGAACAGG
rnacentral:rRNA from 1 species